UGGUAGAGCCUGCUAUUGUUUGUACAAGGAAAAUAACAGUCAUUUAUGUAAAACCAAAAAUAUAUAAGGGGGAAUGAAAUGUACGUAGAGUGAAAUUUACACAUGCACAGUUUGAUUCGAAUUCCACUAUUCUCGGUUAUUUAUUUAUGAAAAAAAAGUUAAACCGUAGUUAAAUCACUUUUUAUAUUCUACAUCGAUAAAUCGUUAAGGAGCGACUUAUGGAAUUACGAUAAGUCACAUAGACAGUAAUUUUUUAGCACCAUAAAACCA